AACACAACAAAGGGCUCUAUCUGUGUCAAAUCGGCUUAGGGCACUGAAUCGCCUUGCUACGCUCACCUCCGCCGUCGAACUUGGAAUUUCUUCAUUUAGGAGAAACUGAAUUGAUUUAUUCCAAGGAAUGGAACCCGAGAAUUUACAUCUGAGAAUGGUGAUAGCAUAUAAUGUGUAUGAUGACCCGGAUAAAUCUUUCAUGCAAGGCGAGACUUCCAUGUCCAAUGUCUUAUUAGAAGAUUGUCUUUUCAAGAUAAGCAGCUUACACAUGGACUAUGAUACUUAUAUGGCUCGUAGAGGAUUCAACAGAAUCGAGAAAUCGAAUACCUUGGAGAUGAAGUUUUUCGACUCAGAAAGAUCUAAGGCAGUAGUCGAGAAAAUAGACUUUACGUUGAAGGACUGGCUAGAAAUGUAGCUAUUAAAGGGCUUCAACGAUGUUGAAUACUAUGCAGAUUUAAAUCAUCUCACGCACUGGUGGGAUUAUAUCGAAUCAGAUUUCAAGAGUGUUUUUCGUCCUAUCGUUUCUGGGAUCAGAGUGCUUCACUGCCAUGGUAAGUAUCAUUGCAAUCUGUUGAAUGGAAUUGCCAUCACUAUCUCAGAAUGAGAUGAAUCUGUGAAGGGCGUACUGUUCGGCAUGGACAAUCAAACAGAAAAUCUUUUGUUCGAAGCUCUAUGCAGCUGACAGAGUGAUGACAUCAAGAAUCUCGUACACUUGAUCAAGUAUGCCUCAACGUAUCCGUUCAUACGAUCAGAUCCCGAGUGUCAACCUCCUUCCCCUCCGAGCGUUGUACAGGUGCUAUGCCUACAACAACUGGAAGAUAGGAUUUCUUCAAUUUAUUUGAACCCUGAAUGUUCGUGCACAUUGGGAUCUAAAUCCAGUACUCUUAUGGAGGACGCAUGAGAUGAUAGACUUCUUGCUGAUGAUGUAUCGGACCCUGUUAACAUGCGAGUCUAAACUCCUCCAACAGUCCGCUACCUCUGCUUUUGUGAACAAAGAAUGGGCAAGACAAGUGAAGGAGCGUGCAACUCAGAGCUAUAUCGAUAUGUUAAACCGCGACGUAAGUGCACAAAAGACAGGGAUGGGAAAGCUAUGUUUCUACAGAAACUGCCAAGAGCAUAUCAGAUCAGAGAAUGACGUAUAUAAGUCCAUGGGCACCCAUACAGCCAUUAUCGAAAUGAUUGCAGAGUUGAUUCCUGAAGUUGUGAAUGCCGCUCAUUUUAUGAUCACCAGCAACAUUUUUAGCGAUUAUGUAAGAAUUCUAUUCCAGGACAUGGCUUGGAAGGUUUGACAAUGAUGUAAGAGCUCUAUUAACAAAAUUGGAUUGGAGUUAAUUCCAAAUUUGUCCUAAGUUUUUUUAAAUUGUUGAAUGAUAUCUCUGUUUUAACUAAACCCUGUCUGGUCCUGUAGAAAGCUUUGAUUCACCGAUGAACAUUGACCUUCUAAUUUCACCUACUAAUGAACUGAUUAGUUGUGUUGAUUGUCCCA